GUGAGGAAUAUUGGGCAAUGGGCGAAAGCCUGACCCAGCCACGCCGCGUGAGUGAUGAAGGCCUUCGGGUUGUAAAGCUCUGUGGGGAGGGAAGAAAAAGCGGGAGAGUAACUGCUCUCGUGUUGACGGUACCUCCUUAGCAAGCACCGGCUAACUCUGUGCCAGCAGCCGCGGUAAUACAGAGGGUGCAAACGUUGCUCGGAAUUACUGGGCGUAAAGCGCGUGUAGGCUGACAUGCAAGUCGGGUGUGAAAUCCCAGGGCUCAACCUUGGAACUGCACUCGAAACUGCACGUCUUGAGUACUGGAGAGGGAAGUGGAAUUCCGGGUGUAGAGGUGAAAUUCGUAGAUAUCCGGAGGAACACCAGUGGCGAAGGCGGCUUCCUGGACAGUAACUGACGCUGAGACGCGAAAGCGUGGGGAGCAAACAGGAUUAGAAACCCGAGUAGUCC
rnacentral:rRNA from 1 species